GCUGACGAGCGGCGGACGGGUGAGUAAUGCAUAGGAAUCUGCCCGAUAGUGGGGGAUAACCUGGGGAAACCCAGGCUAAUACCGCAUACGUCCUACGGGAGAAAGGGGGCUCCGGCUCCCGCUAUGGGAUGAGCCUAUGUCGGAUUAGCUAGUUGGUGAGGUAACGGCUCACCAAGGCCACGAUCCGUAGCUGGUCUGAGAGGAUGAUCAGCCACAUCGGGACUGAGACACGGCCCGAACUCCUACGGGAGGCAGCAGUGGGGAAUAUUGGACAAUGGGGGAAACCCUGAUCCAGCCAUGCCGCGUGUGUGAAGAAGGCCCUCGGGUUGUAAAGCACUUUCAGCGAGGAAGAACGCCUAGCGGUUAAUACCCGCUAGGAAAGACAUCACUCGCAGAAGAAGCACCGGCUAACUCCGUGCCAGCAGCCGCGGUAAUACGGAGGGUGCAAGCGUUAAUCGGAAUUACUGGGCGUAAAGCGCGCGUAGGUGGCUUGAUAAGCCGGUUGUGAAAGCCCCGGGCUCAACCUGGGAACGGCAUCCGGAACUGUCAAGCUAGAGUGCAGGAGAGGAAGGUAGAAUUCCCGGUGUAGCGGUGAAAUGCGUAGAGAUCGGGAGGAAUACCAGUGGCGAAGGCGGCCUUCUGGACUGACACUGACACUGAGGUGCGAAAGCGUGGGUAGCAAACAGGAUUAGAUACGCCUG
rnacentral:rRNA from 1 species